GAUUCUCUGUUUUUCUCCAGUAGGGAAACCCGUAGGAGAACGGAUCAGUUUUUGCAGACAUCAAGCUAUGACAUAUAAAAAUCUUGAUAGUGAAACUUUUGAAUUAUACUGAUGAUAUUACUCAAGGAUUGUCCCAGAAAUGCUCUGAAUUCUCUGGAGUUUGCAUUUUUUUCCAAUGGAGGAACACUGAGGAGCGCUGAUGAGGUCUUACAUUUCUAAAACCAUGACCUGUGUAAGUUGAUGAUUCCUGUCUCCUUUCAAUAUUACAGUGUUAGUCUAUGUGGCUUUAUUCAUUAAUUAACCUAAACCUUCCUACUUAAGAGGGCUU